rnacentral:tRNA from 1 species
GGGUCUAUAGUAUAAUUAGUAAUACUUUUGAUUGCAGAUCAAUUUAAUUUUUGGCCUU